AAAUGCGAAAAGUAAUGUGAAUUGCAGAAUUCAGUGAAUCAUCGAAUCUUUGAACGCACCUUGCGCUCCUUGGUAUUCCUUGGAGCAUGCCUGUUUGAGUAUCAUGAAAUCUUCAAAGUAAAUCUUUUGUUAACUCAAUUGGUUUCUACUUUGGUAUUGGAGGUCUUUGCAGCUUCACACCUGCUCCUCUUUGUUCAUUAGCUGGAUCUCAGUGUUAUGCUUGGUUCCACUCGGCGUGAUAAGUUAUCUAUCGCUGAGGACACUGUAAAAGGUGGCCAAGGUAAAUGCAGAUGAACCGCUUCUAAUAGUCCAUUGACUUGGACAACACUUUUAUGAUCUGAUCUCAAAUCAGGUAGGACUACCCGCUGAACUUAAGC
rnacentral:misc_RNA from 1 species